rnacentral:lncRNA from 1 species
CGAGCUGAAAUACAUGAGCCGGACCGCCUACAAAGAAACAAAACAACCCGCUCCUUCUCCUCCACCGCCGCCUCCAACCACCAAAAUUCAAUCAUCCAGCAACCCUCUCCCACCACCGCCGCCUUCAACCACCAAAAUUCAUUCAUCCAGCAACCCCCUCCCACCACUGCCACCUCCCCUCAAAAAUGAGAAGAGAGGCUCAUUCGGAAGGAAAUUCAUCAUCGAAUCCAACUCCGACAAUGAGUCUGACAGCGACCGCACCAGUUCCAUAAGCUCCGGCAAUGGGGACGACCGGAG